rnacentral:rRNA from 1 species
UUUCCUACGGGAGGCAGCAGUCGGGAAUAUUGCGCAAUGGAGGAAACUCUGACGCAGUGACGCCGCGUAUAGGAAGAAGGUUUUCGGAUUGUAAACUAUUGUCGUUAGGGAAGAUAAAAGACUGUACCUAAGGAGGAAGCCCCGGCUAACUAUGUGCCAGCAGCCGCGGUAAUACAUAGGGGGCAAGCGUUAUCCGGAAUUAUUGGGUGUAAAGGGUGUGUAGGCGGGAACGCAAGUCAGAUGUGAAAA